rnacentral:lncRNA from 1 species
GUCCUGCCGGAAAGCAGCCGACACACCCAAAUGGCCAGAACCCAAAAGUAAUGGUGAAGAAGGCGACAGGUGUUCUGGUGACCUGUAACACCACCAGGAGCCCUGAGACCCACCUCCUAUAAUCUAAUGUAGACCCUCAUCAGUGCAGGUCACUGCACUAGGGCAGCUGUCACUGCUCCAGAAAUACUGCUUACAGUAAAGGGAGGGAGGCCUCCUCUUCCCUGCUUGAGCACUUAAGUCCCUGCAGAUUUCUUAUCCUGCCCUGAACGUUCUGUUAAUCCAGUGUUCCAGUAUUCUCCAACUGUGGGGCAAGAGAAGACCACAGACAUUUGCAACUCUAUUGAACUGAGCCUCCAGUGCUCAAAGGCAAGUAGUGGACACAGAUUUCUCAGUCAUACCCAAGAAAACGGUCCAGGUUUGAGCCCCGGGGCAGGUGAGAGUGGGAGGAGGUGCAGGAUUGUGGACAGAGUUUAGAGUGUAGGGAAGGAAGUGUGUCCUCGAUAGGGCCAGAAGACACACGAGGAGCGCCAGAGCAGACACAGAAGUUACGGUGUCCUGAUGUGACGCCCAAGGCCCGGGGGGAGGGGGGUGACUACUGAGAAUCCUGAGCCCUGUAAGAGUGACCCAGGACAUGAGCAGUGUGGGUGAACAUCACUUCACUUCAGGCUUCAGUGUUGUCACCAUCUCCUGCAGAAGCACAUGCCCUCAUAGACUACCCUCUGACAAGGCUACUGUGACCUUCAAGCUCAUGUGAUGAUUGCCCUGUCUCCAUAUAGGAGGCCUGGCCUUACAAGGUGCUACUGUCACUAAGGUGACAGUAAGGACAAGAGUACUGCGACACUGGGAGGCUGCAUGCAAAAAUGAUGGGAGGCCCAGCUGUACCUGGAAGCUACAUGAUGUAACCCCUGAUCUGCUCUACAGAUCUUCAUUUUGUGCGGCUGUCUUCCUAGUGACAGCCACAUCACCUAUGACAACAAGUUCUCCCUGACUCUCCUUUAGCCUUGCUUCUCAGUCUUGAGAUGACGAGCCUAGGGGAGGGCCUCUACAGAUAAGUCAGCCUGACUUCAUUCUUACCCAAGAGGAGUUAGAAUGAAGAUUGGCUCUGAGAUGUGACCCCAGCUUCUAGACUGUCUUUGUGCAGUGGAGUGAUCUGGGCUUUGCUCAGUGGCCAUUCAAUAAGCAUAGAUGUGCAAGGCCGUCUCUAGGAGCUGGAUCCCAGGAUCAUUGGUGUGAUGGACAAGCUCUGCAGAAGGAGCCGGCACUCUGGGAGAGUCCAGGACAUUCAGGAAGACAAAGGGGGUGAGGCAAGUCCACAUCAAAACAGGUAAAAGCAGUAAUGAAGCUGGGAGCUUCCCUCCUAGUACAGGUUGUUGGGAAACACACUCCCUGAGAAGUCAGCUCUGCUGGGCUCAGCCAGGGCUGAAAGAAGACAUGAGACAGAGGGCCAUGAGAGCAGCCCUGUCACAGGCAGCCAUCAUGAAUGACUGAACCUGGGAAGGGCAUGUGAUAGUGUGAGUUUUAUGGACACCCUAAAGGAAAUUUAUAGUAAUUCAUCUCUUGGAGAAAUGGUGUUCUCCACUCAAAUCUCAGGCCCUGGGAGUGUUGGGUGUUGCAACAUACCAAAGGCCUGGAGGGUCCACUCCUCUUAUGAUGGUGAUGGGAAUGUCAGAAGAUGAGGAGGCCAUCUUGAUAGGAGGACAAUGUUAGAAUCCCAGAAACCAGAGGCCAUGUUCCUGCAUGGAGCUCCAGCAUUCUUCACAUAGGCAUGAUGAAGGUAAUGAGUGCAGAUACAAACUGUCACCAUGGGAUUCCUGGUUGUCCCUCAGCACUUUAGCCUGCUUUCUCUCCCACGCACCACUUAGUUUACUUGAGCACACCUUGUCACUGCCCAGGAUUUUUUCAUAACUUUGAAAAUAAGGCAGAGUGGUACAGGUAGGAGAUCCCUGAGUCCUCUGUGCUCUGUCCUUCUGUCACUGUGGUCUCUUCAGAUGCCCCCGACUAUGAUUCUGAAGUUAAUAAAGCACUUGAGGGUCAUGGGGCUUUCCUGACAGGAACCACACAAGCUGGAGCCAAAUCCAGAAGCUGUGCACCAAGUCCUUCCAUGUUUGUGGCUGCUGUGGACAGUCUGAACUGCAAGUCUGGCCCUGCUCUGUCACUGAAGGCACAACCUCUUGAACUCUCUCACUUUGAACUGUAGUAGUAGCUAGUGCCGCUGCUGAUCCAACAAUCUAGUUCAAUACGAGACAACAUAAGCUUUCCAACAUCCAACCUGGAACAUUCUGUCUCAGAGACGACAGUGUGUACACUUGAAAGGACAGACCAGGUGAGGAAGACGGAGAGGUCCUAUGUGGCUUUCUCACAGUGUGCUUGAUCUCAGCCCACUUCCCAAAAUUCCUUCAGUCCCAGCCCAAAUUAGGAGUAGUUCUAAGAAGAAUAGAGCCCUGAAGUGCUGAGAGGAACUGAGAGAUCCCUGGCUGCCAUGUUCCAUGUAGAGACUCUUCAGGAUCUUCUGUGAGGGCUCAUCCCUCUUCAUUCUUUGGACGUCAUGUGCUAUGAAUGCUUACCCUCUGACACUGUUCACUUUGCAGACCUGCCUGACACUUUAGGAAAGUUCUCCCACUCUGCCUGACUUCUGGGUCACACCUUCCAUUUAUAUAAAGUGUGCUUAGCGGGGUCAAAGAGGAACAUGAUUAACACAGUGCAUUGAGUAGCUAGCCUUCUGUAAUGCCUAGAGAAAGCACACGAUGGGCCCCUGGAAACAGUCAGCUCUGUUUCUCUCAGUGGCCUAGACUUGACGAUCAAGCAUCCAUCAGCUUAUUAGAAAGACACGUUUCUGGACUUCCACCUUCAGUUCCUAGGUCUUUUCUGAAUGGCGUUUAUCAAGUCUUGGCAUGAAUCUCUAGGAACAUGGGAAUAUCCUGCAAAGUUCUAUCCCCUAUGCACGGUCUCUGCUUUCCUUUCCUUCUGGGAACUUAACCCCCAUGACUCUCUUUGUGAAGUGCUCAUCCUUUGGUCUGCUCACAUAUCUUCUUUUCAGAGUCUCAGCGCAGUGUCGGGAUGUCAGGAAGCUGUGGGCUGGGUCAUGGCGAAGGUACUGAAGACUCUGUCCUUCUCAUCCCAUGAUACUGCAUCCUCUCACUUCUCCCUUGCAGAUUGUUGUGUUUUCCCACAAGGAUGCUGCUCACUAAUUUGCCCUCUGUGGAAUGGUGGCCCCAGGGAAGCAAGGACAGGAUCACCACAGGCUUGUCUCUCAAUAGGAUUGGUACUUCCUGGAAGGUCACUGGUGGAGGGAUGUUCAGGAUCUCUGACCGCCCCCUUCCUCGAUGAAAGGCUAGUGACUGCUCAGCCUUUCAUGUUAUUUUCCUUCUGCUAGCCUGUGCUUCUCUGCGUAGGUCCAAUUCAGUGCUACCAGGUAUGUAUGAGACCUGCAGACCUUACCCGAGUUUUUGCAGUUGGUAUGAUGGCUCUGAGAUCAUGUAACCUUGCCAAACAUUUUAAAUAUUAAUAUUUACUCACUUACUUAACCACUCACUGUCUCCUCUACCCUGUCUGUCUGUCUGUCUGUCUCUUCAGAUCACCCUUCGUAUGGCCCCACUUAAAGACAGAACAGUAAUUCACCAUGGACCUCAUCUUUUAGAGGCAGGUAAGAUGAUCAUCUUAGAUAGCCUAUCUUUUGAUGCAAAGACCUUGGGAUUCCAAACAGCUAUCCCUGAGGGGAGAGGGCUCAAAGCAGAGCUCAGUCCUGCAGCUCAUGCCUGGCAUAGCUGAGGGUCUGCGGUUCUCUUCUCAGGGGGCAGCACGGGGAAAUAUCUAUAUCAUGUAAAAGGAAACUCUCUCAAGCCGCCUCAGGUCUCUGAAAAGACAGCAGCUCUUAUUAUUGUCCUUGCAUGCUUUGACGAUUCUGUUCAGUAUAUGGGAACAUUCACGAAGGUCAACUUAAAACUCUACAGACAAGAUGUAUUCAGCAAAGCGUCACUGCCAUUGUCUCUUGCUCUUAUGUCCCCAGAGCCCCUGCCCUAACCCUAAGAGAUCAUCUUCUCCCUCUGCUUUGCUCUCUCUUUCUGGGAUUUGCUCAGGUGCAGCCAGCCCAUGUUUCCUAGGGAUGGUUUUUCUGUUUUCUGACAGAUGGGUAGACCAUCUCCCUUGUCUUGUGUCAUGUACAGUUACCGCUGGGAAAAGAGUUUCCAAGAAGGUGUUGGAAAAAAAAAAGACCACUUCAAAAAAUGUAUUUCGGGGCUUAAUUUUCAAGAAAACUCAUAGACACGAGACAGGUGGUUCAAGAGAAACAGCUGUGAAAUCCUAUCAAAUUCCCAGUAUGCGUUUAAAUGUGUGAUGCUCAAGACUAUGCUUAAACAUUAGAGAAGUCAUUUGGUACCCAGGUGUCUCAAUAGACUUUUUCAAAAGGCUUAGGCUCAGGCCUGGCCAUGCAGAGUUCAAAGAAUUCCACUUUCACGUUUCAUGUGUACCCCGGGCUGAAAGACCAAUCUAAUACCCUUUGGCAUUGCCACAAACAUGUAAACCCAGCUGCUACCACCAGAUGUCAUGAAUGAUCCUUCUCUUGGAAACUUAACUUGUCAUCCUUUUUAGGCUUUUAGCUUUCCUUCCUGUCGUGUGUGUGCUUCCUGCCUCUUGGCCUAUACCAUGCUUUCUUCUUUGCAGUACCAGCCUUCCCCACCAAUCUGGGAUAUUACAAAGGAUGGGUGAUGUUGAAGUGAGGGGGUCUGCUGGCUUAUGCCCUAAAAAGAAGCUGAGUGAAUUGUGGGGUUUUCCUGAGAUCAAGGGUACCGGACAGGUACCCACAGUUUAGAAUCAGUGGUCAUGACUUAGCCAUACCCUGCUCUACCAUGGAAGACAGCACAGGAUAGGAACUUGAAUGUUAGCUUGGUUGCUCCUCACGGCACUCUUCACAGCUUUUCAGCUUGGACCACAUUUGUUCUGGUCCAAGGUAAAGUACAGUGUGUUAUGAGUUCCUAUUCCUGGGUUGGUUCGUGAGUUAGGGCUGUCCUCAAUGGAUGCUGUUUUGGAGACAAUUCUGUGCCUCCAUUUUGAGCCCUGCCUUUGGUAUCACCAAGUCAUGGGAACCCUCCAGACAACAUCCCUGCAUAUUGUCAUGAAUAAACCCUUCAACCAGUUCUGAGAAUUCAUGUCCCAGAAAAGAGAACUUCCUUUGACAGGUAAGUGUUCAAAAGGGUUCCUGGCUGCUCAAUUUGCACAAUGUAGGGAAAAAAGUCCUCUGAAGCCCAUUGGUGCUUUUGGACCCUGCCGGUGGGUUUGGCAAGGCACAGAUAUGGGAGGACAAUUCUGGAUAGUGGCAUGUCUGGAGUAUCUCACCAUUUUCUUCAUGAUGCUCCCAUGAGAUUGAGACAGUGAGAGGACUCGGUUGCAUAAAAAUGCAAUCUGUGGUGUAUGAAUUUCAGGAUUGUACCCAUUAGAGCAGGCGUGCAUCAGAAAACUUUUGGACAUUUUUUCUGCUACAGUGAAAGAAUAAUUUGCCUUCAUCCUCAUCCCUGGCUGUGUUCAUACGUGCACCUCAGCUCUUGUGCAUUUGAGUCUUCAGGAGGAAACAUUUGGUAGGGUAGAUGCAAGAUGUACAUGUGGGUUCACUGCUUGCCUUCUAUAGAUGGAUGACACUGGAGGUGCUUCCUGUAACUAUGCACAUGGUCCCUGAAGGGGUAGCUGUGUGUGUCUCUCUCCCCUGGGAGUACCCAGAAUUGUAACAUUCUCUGUGUGCAUUUUGCCCCAUCCUCAAAAGCUCUUACACACCUGGUCCCCAGUCAGAGACUGACUAAAAGUGCGUAGACAUUGAUAUGUCCAGGAGAAUAACUCUGACUGAAUGUUUUCAUUGUUAAUCCCAUUGUAGGGAUGAGAACAACCACCUGUAGAUGUUAUGUUGCUCAUUCAGUUCAGGCAUGCAGGAGAAGAGCCAGCAAAUGACACCAGAAGGUCUGAGUGCUAGGACCCUGUCUUAGGGUUUUACUGCUGUGAACAGACACCAUUACCAAGGCAUCUCUUAUAAGGACAACAUUUCAUUGGGGCUGGCUUACAGCUUCAGAGGUUCAGUCCUUUACCAUCAAGGCAGGAACAUGGCAGUAUCUAGGCAGGCAUGACACAGCAGGAGCUGAUAGUUCUACAUCUUUAUCUGAAGGUUUCUAGCAGAAUAGUGGCUUCCAGGAGCCAGAAGGAGAGUUGUAAAGCCCACGCCCAGAGUGACACAACAAGGCCACACCUCCAAAUAUUGCCACUCCCUGGGCCAAGCAUAUUUAAACCAUAACAGACCCUGUCACUUUCCAUGAGGUUUAUCUAAGAUGCCUCUGGACAGGCAGUAUGGCACAAGUUAACUCUUUCCCAAAAAGCUUGACUGACAUAGUGCAGAGAAAGCCCACAAGUCCCCCGUCUCCCUCUCUUUUCCGUAUUGCAUGUCUCCUUGGCUAACACUUCAGAGAGCUUCUGAUUCUUCUGACAGGAGAGUUCCACCAAAAAGCUCAGACUUCAGCUUAGAGGGACAAGUAUAGCAGUGAGGGUUUUCUUAUGCAUUGCUGGAGUGCUAGGAUGUCUCCUAGGUGCAAAGACUGCUGGGAGAGCGCUGGGAAAACAUCUUCUGCAAGAAAACCAUUCUUCUCUCAAGCUUACACAAGCUCUUUCAUCUUGUUCUCCAUCCUCAGCCUCUUGACACAAACAGCUUGGCCCUGAUGAUGUCCCCAGCUUAGCAAUGGACUACAGCCAAGAAGCCUGGCCACAAUAAGGACGGAUCACAUCCUUAGGGAGGACAUCUAUGAAAAGCAUCUAUGCACAGGAGAAAAGUGCAAGGACCGAAGUCUCAUCAGGAGUUCCAGGACACAGAGAGCCUGACAGACUCAGGCCAGAGGUUACCUCCAGAGUCCUAGAAGAGGAAGAGGGUCCAACUCUACAGCAGCCUCUUGCUGGUGCUGUUGCAACCAGGACUAUGAUUGUGAGACUUGUGUCUCUGUGGAUACCAGGUUCAGGCGUCUUGUGCCCAUGCAUCUACGGACACCUCUCAUUCCUCAUUUGGUAUAACUUUGCAAGUCCUGAGAUUAAGGCUAUCAUGUACUGAUGGUGUCCCACUUGACACAUAGGCUACAGAUGACAUUAAAUCUGCAAUUCUCUACUUUGUGAUUAUUGAUCCUUUCCAAAUUGGUUUGACUGGGAACAAGGCUCAGAGUUCGAUAUUUCCAAGAUUCACCUUUAUGAAAUUCAGAAUCCUACAAUUGUACAAAUGUACAAAAAAAAAACAGUACAGUUACCACUCUGGAAUGAAUCCAAGGACAAGGUGUCUGACAUGGGAAGUUUACAGAUUUAAUUAUAGGUCCAGGACUUAACAACGCUAAGCCUAUGCAGAAUCAUUCAGGGAUUCCAACUUUAGCAAUUGGAAGGAGUCAUUAAAGAAAAUGAGCUACGUGGCUCACAUGGCCAUGUCAUCGUGUCCAUGGAACAUGAUGCUCCUACUGCCAUGCUCUCUGUCAACCUCAAAAUGAGAUCACCAUUUACAGAAGAACAGUGCAGGGCAGCAAAGCAGUACGUUGGCCUAGGGUGGUGCACUGGGUGGUUCCAGGAGAUGCAGCCCUCACUCCAUCCUAUACAUCUAGGAGGAAAGCAAGAGGAGAGUGGGAGGGAUUAUGUGAGGGUGAGAUUCAUGGUCCAAGUGUAGCCUAGGUGUCAGCUUAUCCCUUAGAAGAGCAUACGUGCCUCUGUAUGGAGGGUUCUGGCCAGGAAUGUCACCAGGGACAGAGGAGUCAAUGCUCACCCUCUGAAGGUACUGUACCUGCCACUACGACACAACAAAGAUAGGCUAGCUUGCCAAUACAGGGACCUUCACAUGGCUGGCAUAGGGUGAUUGUCUGGAAUCAUAAAGGAUUGAUUGCGUGUCCAUGGGGGCUGACAACCCCGCAGAAGUGCAGGACAUGUGUUGUGGUCAUGGGGCUGACAACAUGACCUAUGUGGCCAAAACCGGCUGGAGGGAUGAGACCCUGGCUCAACAGUGUUUGCUCAAUGAGUUCCCCCCCACACACACACACUGCAUCCCCAGGCCUCAGUCAAAGUGCUGGCAGACAUCCAGUAAGCAGGGCAUCUUCUUCCCAUUUACUUUGUUCCAGGUCCGUGACCAAAAAGGACCUACAUUUUUCAGGGCCAUGAUACACAACAUCAUUGAAAAUGCAGGUGCCAUCUAGACAACAUAGCUUUUCUAUUGGUGUUAUAAAGAUACUCUGACCAAAAGUAACUUUGGGAGGAAAUAUUUAUUUUGCUUACAUUCCAUGCCUCAGGCCAUCACUAAGGGUAUCUAGGGUUGCAAGUCCAAGCAAGACCCUGACCUAGAACCCACUGGGGACACUACUGGGGACACUACUUACAAGCUGGCUUUCUUUAGCUUGCUUUCUUAUGCAACCCAGCCCCCACCCCCUGCCUAACACGGAGGCUGCUAACCAUCUCCCUCAGCCUCCACAUGCAUUGUCGAUAAAGCAAAUCUAAACACGAUUAUAGGCCAGUGUAAUAGACACAUUCCUUCAAUGGAGGUCCCAUGCCGCUAGGUGACUCUACACUGAGUCAUGAAGUAAAAACUAAAGGGACCAACUCAAGAGGCUAAACACAAAAUCAACACACACCAUUCAGUAACAUUUUGUUUUGUUUUGGUUUUGGUUUUUGUUUUGUUUGCUUUUUUCCCUUUUAUUAUUAUUAAUCAUUCCAUUCGUUUACAUCUCAA